rnacentral:rRNA from 1 species
UACGGAGGAUCCGAGCGUUAUCCGGAUUUAUUGGGUUUAAAGGGUGCGUAGGUGGCUAAUUAAGUCAGGGGUGAAAGACGGCAGCUUAACUGUCGCAGUGCCUUUGAUACUGAUUGGCUUGAAUGACGUUGAAGAUGGCGGAAUGAGACAAGUAGCGGUGAAAUGCAUAGAUAUGUCUCAGAACACCGAUUGCGAAGGCAGCUGUCUAAGCGUUUAUUGACACUGAUGCACGAAAGCGUGGGGAUCAAAC